rnacentral:tRNA from 1 species
UCCCUGGUGAUCAAGUGGUUAGGAUAAAGCGCUUUUACUGCUACAGCCCAGGUUCAGUCCCUGGUCUGGGAA